rnacentral:lncRNA from 1 species
CUCGGAGCUCCUGACCCCGCACACCCGGGCAGGGCGGGCCCCAGGCGCCAGCGGCCUGGGGAGGCGGCCGCUCGGAAGGGAGGAGACGCCCUGUUCGUCUGUUUUCCCCGACACCCGGUCCUGCUGUCCCGGAGCGGAGCCGUGUUUGGGGUUUUCUCCCAGGACCCCAAGGUCCUUUCCGGGACCCAGCGGCAGCCGCAGUCCCUGCCUGAGACCCCCUGUGUGUGUGGGGGGGUGUCAAGCGCAGCCAGGGCAGAGGAGGGGGUUGGGGGCGGGCGAGCUCUCUGCCCCGGGUCAAAGCCCGCCUCCCUGCCCGCUGACCUCUGCAGGCCGCAGGUGCUGUCGCCAAGCGCCCUGCGUCCCCGCCUGACCUGUGUGGCCGUCGUGUCUGUCUGUUGGUUUGUCCUCAGUGUCUGUCCGUGGUGGCCCCCCAUGCGCUGACCUGACUCAGGGGCCGCGGCAGCUUUGGUCUGGGUUCUGGGGAAACUGCAGCAGCCUGGGGAGCAGGCGCGGGUUAACAACAGCUGCACAGUGGGGCUUCCGGGCUCCGUCACCCCAGGACUCAGUCUCUCCCUGGUCACAGGCGUCCUUUGCCCCUCGGCUGCUGAACCGAGGAUGCAGAAACCUCAGCUCAGGGCUGGCUCUUGAUGUCCUGGCUCUUGCUGUGCCAGACCCUGUGCCGGAAGUGGAGGGAGCAGCCAGGUCCUGUCCUGAGGGCCUCGGCCUGGAGCCGGGCACAGCGGGGCAUUGCAGUGCAGCGCAUGGCACAGCUGGACAUGGCGCUGUGAGGUCAGAGAGGCCUCAGGUCACAGGUGCAGGAGGAGGAGAGAUGCUGCCUGGUAACCGUGAGGGCCACUGCACACCACCGGGCUGGUGAAAAAAACAUCCAGACACAAAACAACAGUGUCAGUGAGAGUGUGGAGAAGAUGAAACCCAGCUGGUGGGAAUGCAAAAGGGCGCAGCUGCUGCUGUGAGCUUGUGGCACAGUCUGGAGAUUCCUCAGAAGGUGAACAUGGCAUUAUCCUAGGACCCAGCAAUUCCACUCCUAGGUAUACACCCGAAAGAACUGAAAACAGCCACUCACACAAAUAUUUACACACGUUUGUUCAUAGGAGCGUUAUUUACAAAUUGCCAAAAGGUCCACUGGUGGAUGAGUGGAUAAACAAAUUGUGGUAUAUCCAUACAGUGGAGUAUUAGUCAGCCAUAAGAAGGAACAAAAUAUUACUAUAUGCUACCAAAUGGAUGAACCUCUAAGAACAUGAUGUUAAAUUGUGAAAUAAGCCCGGCCCUUGGGGUUACACUUUAUUUCCAGGGUUCCCAGCGAUAUGAAAUGUCUAGAAUAGGGAAAUCAGAGAGUGCAGAUUAGUGAUUGCUAGGAGUGGGGGGAUGAGGAAUAGAUGUCAGCUGUUUGCUGGGUGUGUGCUUUCUUUGGAGGACAAUGGAAAUGUUUUGAAACUAGACGCAAGUGGUGGCUAUACAAUUUAUAAAUAUAUUAACAAGACUCUAAAAUGGUCAACGUUAUGUUAUGUGAAUGUUGCCUCAACUAGAAAAAAGAGAAUCUUAUUUUAUUUUAUUUCCAGUACUGGGGAUCGAACUUAAGACCUUGAGCUUGCGAGGCAGGUGUGGUGUCACUGAGCCACAUCCCCGGCCCCUCAUAAAAAGAGGAUUUUAAUAGAAAAGAAAAAUGGUGUGACCUGUGCAGUGUGGGGGUCAGAGAAGUGGACGUGUGAAGCUCUGCUGGCUGCCUGGGCCACAGGGAUGGAAGAGGAAGUAUCUGGGGCUGCAAAUAAGAUGCAUAAUACAGCUCAGGGAUAAAGUAACACAGUUUCUCUUAUUUAUGAGACACGGCCUCGCUAUGUAGUUCACAUGCCCUGCUCUGUGUCAUCACUGUAAAAGUGUCCCAGCCCUGGGGAACACGUUCCUAGCUGCCCUGGGCCACCUGCAGCCCCGAGCAAAGGUUGGACGCACCUGCGAGUGUCUCACGGGCGUCCCACACCGCCAGGAGGGUGCAAAGCAGUGGCUUCAGCCUCCACUUUCCCAGAGCCCACAGCGAUUACAGAAGGCAACUUGCAGCCUCCCACGCGUGUGCGUGCUCGCGCCUGGGAGGACAGGCUUUCGUUGUUAUCAGGCACACAUACCUUCUGGGAGACUCAUCCUGCUGAGGCCCAGGAACCCCAAGCCACUCCCCUGAAUGUCUCGGCGAUGGCGGCGUGGUCGGUUGGUCGGCCUUUCACAUUUCCCUGUGCUGCAUUUCUGAAACCUGUGUUUUGACGGUUCCCACUAAUGAGCUGGUUCAGCAGAUUCUUUCCCCCCUAAAUUGCAAAGACAACGUGACAGUUCAAAAAAACAGAACAAAGAACAUGACAUGUGGAGACGCAGAAAUGUCGAGGUGAGCCAGGCCAUUGUGCUUCUGGUGGCACUGACAUCCAGGGUCACUCCUGAUGGCUGCACAGUUUCUGCUGUAACAUUCUCCUGGUGAUUCCUGUCCUCAUGCAUAGAAAGGUAUCUCUUAGCAAGGUCACACACACACACACACACACACACACACACACCCCUGCACACCAGCGUCUCACUGAGAAGGGCAAGAACCAGUGGCCGGCAGGUGGGCAGCAAUUAAAGCUCCAAAGGAACCAGAGGGCCCAGCAAGGAGCGCAGUGGGCCCUGUCCUCAUUCCGUCACUGGGGGACUCUGACACCAGAGCCAUGGACUCGGCUAAGCCAGAGCCUCUGCGGUUGCACGCAGAAGGAACCCUGAAAAUGCAAGGUGGCUCGGACGGCUCUGUCUACACCGCACACUGCAGAACUACGCAGUUGAAAGCAGCCCUCGCUGUUCUCCAGGAAGAACGGCUGGCAUCGAGGCUCUUUGUGGCCUGCGGCCUGUGCCAGGCAGGGUGCCGAGCCCUUCGCUAGGGGGUGGGCUCCUCGUAACAGUGCCGCCCGGUGCGCUCCAGGCCCUAGUUCCGUCCCCUGUGCCACGAACAAAAUGAAACCCCGAAACACUCGUGAAUCCUCUUCACCCAGUGAGGCGGGCACUACUGAUCCCACUGGGCAGAUGAGGAAACUGAGGCCAUGAGCUGUGGACCCCCUCACUCCAGGCUGUGAGCAGUGAACUACCAGGCUCCAGAUUCUGCCUAGAGAAGGGAGGAAGAUGAGAUGGAGGCACCAGCUCCGCAGUGAGCCUUCUUCUCAUUGGCCCUCAGCUCUGCCCCGUGCGGCUGCGUGUCGUGGGUGAACGCAACACUGCUGAUGCCACUGGAACCUCUCUGGAGACCCAAGCUCAGGUCAUGACCCCAGCGCUCACUCCGGGAGCGGAAUAUCUGAGUCCGACCCCAGUGUUUCCAGCACCCAGGAGAGGGCGGAAGUCACUUCCGUGGAUGCACAGCCCAAGGAGAGGCUGCAGGCCGAGUGGGGGGGUGGAGAGCAGCACAGAGGCCAGGAGGGGCUCCGAAGGCUGGAGAGGAAGUGAGGACCCAGUCCAGACAGUGCAGAUCCCACGAAGUCGCCACGGACCAAGAGAAGACGGAAUCACAGGGCCGCGUGGUCAGGGGCCGGGGAAGUAGGGAGGGUGAGGAGGCCUCGGUGGGCUCAGGCAGCCAGGUGGCUGGAGGCGGCCGUGCCCCGAGGUGGGGACAGCGUCCAGGGCUGCAGGGGAGGUGGAGGCCCGGAGCGUGGAGCGGCAGCACAGACCUGGGCUGGCCGCGGGGUCGGGAGCAAGGCGGAGGAGGGUGACACUGAGAAGGGGCCCGGAGGCCAGGCGGGAGAGAGGCACAGCAGCGGCCGGCGAGGGUUUGCAGACAGGGGGCUGGGACAGUCCCUGAGGACACUGACUCUGGAGGUGACAGAAGAGGCCGCCGGGUGUCAGGGGCCUGGAGAAGGCUGCUGUGCCUCUGGAAGGGGAGGACGCCGGCUUCCUGGACGUGCGGUCUCUGGGACCGUGUGCUGGGGUCACCUCGGGGCUGGAAGGCAGAGAAGGCCUUCAGUGGGUGGGGUCGGGGGUUUGCAGCGAAGCCGUCCUUGGGCUGCCACAGGUGCCGCAGUCACGGGGAGGGGAGGAGAGGGGCAUGGGACAAGGCCAGGCCAGCUCGGGGCCUUGAGGUCCCUGGGGAGGGUGACGGGCGGGGGCGGGAGAGCUCGUCCAGGGCACAGUGCAGUCCGUGCCGGGCCUUGGGGUCUGCACUUUUGGUUGCAGUUUCUUUGCAGUCACUUGGGCUCCCUGCCCCCCAGCAUCUCCCACAGGCCAGGGGUCAGUGGGGAAUCAGUGGCCAAGCCGCCCCUCAGGAGUUUGGGGUUGUUUCAAGCACUCUGGUGCACGCCUGUAGUCCCGGCACUCGGGAGGCUGAGGCAGGAGGAUCACUGCAAGUUGGAGGCCAGUCUGGGCUGCACAGUGAGUUCAAGGCCAGCCUGGACUGCAGCGUGAGACCCAGUCUUAAAAAAAAAGAGGGGAGCACUUGGAGACUGGCAAAAGGUGCAAAGGGGAUGAUUUGAGUGCUGAACAGGAGCAGGGAGUAGUGGGAGGACACAGGAGGCUCUUGGACGAACGUGGGCAAGGUCGUCACCAAGGGCUGCCGAUACCUCGUCCUUGGCCUGCAGAGCUUUGCCGCUGCCUACUCCUCCCCGUUCGCAGUGGGCACCAGCGUGGUGUCCCUUGUGCGCUAGAGGACCCUGCGCCUUUCGGACUUGGACUCGCAGAGCACGAGCACUGAGCACCGGAUGAGAAGCUGCCUUCCUUGUUGGGUCGGAUGGGUCAAGCGCCAGCCAGCCUGCCGCCUCCAGCGGGCUGCCAGACACUGGCCUGAGGGGCCCACCUGGGGCCAGGGGAGUUGGUCCCUGGGACACUCAUCCUUCGGGGAAGGCGGCAGGGUGGGCUGGAGACUGAUUUGGGCAGGGUGGGCUGGAGACUGAUUUGAGCAGCGUGGGCAGCCGAUGGCCGCUCCAGAGCAGGAAUCUCCUGCACAGGGCGCGGGCUCCCGGGCCGCCCAGGGCCCUGGCUUCCUGACUUCUGAGGCUGAGCAAAGCAGCUGUUUAUUUCUCAAGUCAUUCUCUCCCACCCUGUCACUCCACCACUCUGUCAAGGGAGUUUCAUCACAGGCUCAGGAAGAGGGAGGGAGGGAGGGAAGGAAGGAAGGAAAGGACAGCCUCCCUUUGAAGGCGCUGAGGAUUGCCUCCUGCAUUCUCAGCUGGGCCACAGAAGGGGGAGGAAGCCUCUCCUCGGUGCCUGGACCCUGGGAGAGUGGGGGGCACAGGAAGCUGGGACGGGUGAGGAUUCAGAAGAGGAGCCAGAAAGUAGCAGACGGUUGGAGGAUGUGGAAGAGGGCAGGAAGGGUGUCAGAGGAGCAGCAGGGGCAGGUGGGGAAGUCCAGUGUCGGGGGGCCCAGGCAGCUGGGGCUGUAGUUCUGGGGGACCGGGGGGGCUGCCAGGGCCCAUGGCGGGGCUCGGCCCUCUGUGGCCCGCAGGCUCACACUCGGGUGUGGAGCGCCCUGUCCUGCCCUGUGCAACCAGCUGACGCGGACUCCCUGGAUCCCGAGGUUGGGGUGCUUGAGGUCCUGGCCCUGUCAGCGCAGCCUGCACUCUGAGUUGCUUGAGGGAGGUGGAGGGUGGAGAAGAUCCCUCUGCCCUCUGCUGACCCCUGCGACAGGCUGAGUUCCAGCUGUGCCCAGAAUAUCCAGAGGCCUGGAUGCUCCUGCCUCAGCCACCCAGCCCAGCCAGGGCCCGCCCGGGGGGCAGGGAAGCCGUAGAGGGACGGAUGGAUGGAUGGGCUGGUGGAGAAAACGGUGACUGGAGGUGAGGUAGGGUAGAAGGAAUGAAGCCAGGGAAACGAGGCAAAGACCAGAAUUUUAAAAUUGUGUUUUUCAGAAAAACUUCAGCUUUAGGACACAAAAGUUGCUCAAGCCUUUUUUCCUUUCAGGAAACUCAAUUUUUUUUUUUUUUGGUACCGGGGAUUGAACUUGGGAACCACUGAGCUCAAUCCCCGGCCCAAGGAAACUCAAAUUAUUUAUCCCCAAGGGCCGUAAAGAUACAAUGAGCCUGUAAAUUGGGCUUCCAGGGGCCUGUAUUUUUUACUUUUUUUUUUUAGGACAGGGUCUCACCAUGGAGUUCAGGCCAGCCUUGGACUCAUUAAGCAACCCAGGCUGGCCCCGAAUUCAUGGAAAUCCUCCUGCCUCAGUGUCCAAGUGCUCGGAUUACAGCUGUGUGCCGCUGUGCCUGGAUUUUACUUGUUUACUAUACUUUCUCCCACAAACUUCUACCUUCAGGGAGGCAGCAGUGUUAGUGGGCGGUAGAUCCCAACUUCGGGCUUGUGGAAAUCGUGUUCUGAUGAGCAACGUGACAGACAGUAGCAACACACAUCCCAGGCACCCCUCUCGGCCCGCAGGCCCCAUAACUGCGCCCAGCUCCGACCAUAGGCACCCCCCCCCUCCAGGACUCGCAGGCUGUGUGUGUCUUUCAAUGUACGCUUUUAAAAUGUUUGUCUAAUAAAUUCCUUCGUGCCUCUUCUAACAUGUCCUGAAAAUUCCUUUUCCAAGCUGGAGUCAGUAGGGGUACAGCUUAGUCCUCGGGUAAGGCUUGGGGGUCUCCCGGGACCCCAUGCUGCAUCACAGACACGGAUCCUGCGUUGGCCAGUGCUGCAGGUCAUGUGCACACAUGGGAGAUCACCGAGGGCAGAGUGUGGAGCAGAGAAGGACCUCAGGGCCCAGGGCCUGCUGGCCCCCUGAGGGAAGCAGGACCCCUGCACCAGGUCCCCCGGUGAGUAGGGUGUCGCCUGGGGAGGGGGCCAGGGACUUCCCUGCCCCCCAAGUUGGAAAAUCCGCAAAAUCAAGCACAUCUGGCCCUGAACUUCUGAAGGUCUGGUUAAGAAUUAACUCAGAAAUGUCACAAGUCAGAGGCUCGCGGGGCUUGUCCUGAGGAUCGGGCUCACAGAGAGGACUUCACCCAGCUCCCAGUGCCCAAGGGUCACCCCCACGGCAGGGCCGAGUGCUCCCUGCGCCUACCCCAUCAAGUAGCAGGUCGCCUUUUUACUUUGCUCUCUGAUCGUCAGUACCACGGCCGCUGCCCUCCUGGGAACCGAGUUCUAGAGCUCUCCCUUGGGCCCGUGGAGCACAGCUUCUUCCCUAUCCUUUCCUCGGCCUGUGAUGUGAACAAGCUCCAGCCUGGUGUCCUGAGAGACUGGCGAGGACAGCGCCCUGGGGACUGCGGCUCUGAUGUCCUGGCCUCCCUGGCUCCACCCCCUGCGGAAUCUCGUCUCUGGCCCCAGCUUUGGUUCCUGGCCUGGAAACCUGCCUGCUGUCCUCAGAGAUUUCAGCCUGUCUUGCGUUCCUUUGUCAGUAAAUUCUCUUAGUGCCCUGGCCUUGGAGGGAGGCAGGAGCCCCUGGAGCCCCCAGGUGGCUGGGGUGGGAGGGAAAGGAGAGGGAUGCGGCCUGCUGGAGGCCUGAUCUUCCCAGGCCGUCUGCUCUCCUUCCUUGGAACCUGAGGGUUGGGGCUGCAGGAGCCAGGCAGGCCGCUGAGGAGCUGAGGGCAAGGUGGGGUCUGGGGGUUGCUCACCGGAGCCCCAGAAAGGAGGGGCUGUGGGUGCUCAGCUCUGCUGGCCACCAGGCAGGGCGCCUCGCCCUGAGCCUUGCUUCCGAAGCUGAGUGCAUGUCUGCAGGGCAGACAGAAGGGUCAGCCCCCACCUCCCCCAGCAUGAGGAGCUCGGGUCAGACAGUUGGGCUGGGACCCAGAGAAGGCCUGGCCCGCAGGAGCCUCGGGACAAAGCUCGUGAGGCCUCCUGGGUCGUAACAGCACCGACCAGGACCGGGAGGCACACGCCACAGAGCCCCUGCCUUUGUGCAUUUAUUCCUUCCUCUGAUGCUGAGUUCGAGUCCUGGCUGUGUCUUGGGCCAGAGUGGUGUCAGCAUGGGGUUCACCAGGCAGCGUGGGAUUGGCGUGGGGAUCUGUCAUGGGCAGGGGCUCUGCCUCCCUGAGCCACCGCUUCCCACCCCUCCCUCGGGUCACAGCUUGGAGGGACAGCGUCAGGAGCAGGACAGAGGGGCCCUUCCAAGGGUGAGCCCCUGUCCACCCCGAAGACAUCCCAGGAGGAAGCCAGUAGACUGGGGCUGAGGUGAGGGUGAGCAGCUCGGGACUGGAGGGAGGAUCAGGGCACAGCUCGGCCAGGGGUGUCGUGAGCGCAGAGCCCGUGGCACAGCCGCGUGGGCAAAGGUGGCUGCGGGGAGGAGGGGCAUUGUGCUGUGGGGCCAUUGAGGCCUCGCUCUCCACCCUGCUCUCAGCCGGGGCAGCGUGGUGAGGAGCAUCAGGAGGGCAGCACCGCCGUCCAGGGGUCCCCUUCCCUCCCUGGGCCGGACACGGAGGGUACAGUAGUGAGGCCGAGGUGGACGGCUCGUCCAUCCCUCCCGGGCCCACCAUCCUGAGCCCAGCGCUUCAGCUUCCUCCAGCCUCGGCCCCUGGCCCUUGGCUUUUGAUCACUGAUUCUCCUUUGCAUCUCAAAGGUGCCCUUUCGCUUCCUAUUCUGCUCCCUCUUGACCCAGGCCAUCUGCAGCCCCCUGCAGAGGAAGUAGGACAAUGAGCCUGUUUUCCCAGCACGGCAGCGGCCGGCGCGGUGCGGACUUUGUUUUCCAGCCCUGCUGCGCCCCACUCUGCUCCUCCUGGCCAAGGUCCGGGCAGGUCGGCCGCCCUCGCCCCUGCUUUUGCCUCUGCUCUGGCAGCUUCUCUGGCCAAGCUGAAGGUCCCUGCACCUUCACACCUUCCCUGAUCUCAGCGUCUGGGGCGGGCUGUCUUCAGGCGUGUGUCCCCAGGCUGUCCCCAAAAUGUUCCCAGCUUGAGGUUUGUGUGGAGGGGGCGGGCUCAGUCCCCAGGGCAGCAGGACACCAGCGGACGGGGGACACAGAGGGAGGCCUCAGGGCCCGGGGCGGUGCCUGCUCAGUGAGACGCAGAGUUGGAGCCCAGAGGGCCCUGAGCUUUAGCACCGCCCUAAGGUGGGGCCUCCCCCGCCCAUGGGAGGGUGCCCGCUCCUCCCGGUGCCCAGCUGUGGCUGCCCGGUCUGUGCCCUCUGUGUGUCCCCUGCCCCCGGACUGCCGGAGCUCAGAAGUGAGAAGAGUGAAGAUGUGUUGUGUCCAUGUGCCACCUCCCUGUGAGGACCGUGAUCAUGACAUGCGGCAGACACCUGCUAAUGAGAAUAAAAAUUAAGGAAGAAAAGGAGCUGUUUCUCCCAGGCCUCCAUGCCCGGCAGGGAGGAGCUUCGUCCCCUGCAGAGGUGGAGCAGCUCUGGACAGGGACCAGCCCGCCCUGCCUCCCGUGGCCCCUGAGCCGACCGAGGGAGUGGACCCUGCCCCUCACGGUCUCUGCCCUUGGGCCCUGGCCGGUGGCUGUUCUGUCCUGAGUGACUGAGCAGCUCCACCUGCCUCCUGGUUUUUGUGCUUGGCCCUGGCUGUGUCCUGGGGAGGAGCCCUCAGGACUUCUGCAGAGGGAGGGGACGUCGGCAGGGCUGUCAGCUCCUCCACCCUUUCACAGAAGGACCCAGCCACACACACGCACUCAGUCAUUCAACAAGUGGACCUGAGCAGCUCCCGGUGCCCAGCCCAGGGCCUGUGGAUCUCCGUGUUGGUUUUGCCAGAAUGCAGGAAAGACUUGGCUUUGCUGGGCCUCCAGGGGUUGCUGGCCAGUAGGAGGAGUCGCCUGGGGCCCGGGGAGGGGUCGGCUCUGACCUCGCAGGCCCAGGCUCCGCCCUCGCAGGCGCAAGCUCUGCCCUCCACAGGCGCAGCCUCGGCUCGCAGGGCGCAGGGCGACCUGGGGGUUCCUCCGCAGGCUCCCAGGGUCCCCAGGUCCGAAAGCGCUGGCCGUGGCCGUGGUGGGCCGCUUGCGGGGAACUCAGUAGAUCCCUGCGCCACAAAAAUAAAAUACAAGUGCAGAAAGUUUUAUUUUGUGAACACUUACCGUCUGCCUUCUGAAUAGUCAUCUCAGAAUACUUAAAAAUGGAAGAAAGUAAAAAUAAUGGUGAUUCUGCAACCCCACGGGGGCGUUUGCCAGCGCCCGGUGCCUUCCACCGCCGCCCCAGUGCAGCUGCUUGCGAGGUGCGGGGUCUCCUAGUGCCGCGGGGCCGGAGGGGCCCGCUGUUCUCUGUGUGGACCUCUGCAGGGUCGUCCCGGACCACACCGCCCUGGGCACGGGCCGGGGCCGGGGCAGGACAAGCCAGGGACAGACGCACCGACACAGGAUCAACCAUGGGGACCAAGGACAAACAAGCUCCGGGCGCUCAGCCUGUUACUCGGGAGGAGCAGGAUUUGGUGCUGACGCUGGCAGCAUGUGUACUAAAGCUGGAAUGAUACAGAGCUCACCACAGCUCCUGUGCAAGGAUGGAGUGCAAAUUCAUGACGCUCUCAGAGGGGGAGGGGGAGGGGGAGGAAGAAUUCUCCUUCUGGGCCGAUUAGGUCUUAAAAUAUUGGUUUUACUAUUAAAACAAACCCCCAAACAGAAACAAAAACCAAAACCUGAAACCACGUGACUCUUCACUUGGUAUGGGUAACUAAAAGCAGAAUAAAGCUUGACCUGCAGUUGGUAAAACUCUGGGCCAAGUUCUUCUUUGCUCUGCAUAGAGACAUUUUGGUCCUUUGGGAAGCAUCCAUCUAAAAGUUGGCAAAACAAGGUUUACUGGCCCCAGAUUCACCUCGUCCCCCUUUAAGACUGAGGACGGCAAGAGUACCACAGUAAGUUUCAGGAUUUGCCGGGACAGCCGAUGGCCAGAUUUUGCAACAUCCAAUUCCAGGCCUCCCUGGAAUGCCACCCAGUCUCCUGACCUGUCAUCAGCCCAGCUUCCAGGACAGGCAGAGCUGUACAGACUCCCCCACGAUGAGGCACCUGCUCGAAGCAAGAACACUAUUACAGCUGUCAUCAAAAAGUCAGAUUAUGCAUGUACUGAAGAUGUCCAGAGGCUGGACUCCUGCAUUCCAGCUGGAAAAUGGUCAGGCCAUUUCUCAAAAUGCUACCCAUGUAGUUGGUAUUUGACCCAGCAAUUCUGUUCAUUGGUAUCUAUCUGUGAAAAUGAAAACGUGUCCACACAAAACAUGUGCACAGAUGUUCAUAGCAGGAUUAUUCAGCAUGAGCAAAACAUGUAAACAAUCCAAAGGCCAUCAGCAGAUGAAUGGCUACACAAAAUGCAGUGUAUUCACACAGAGGGGGGCCAGGGAUUUAGCUCAGUGGUUCUGCCGCCUGCCUCGCAAGCACAAAGCCCUGAGUUCAAUCUCUGGUGCCAGAAAAAAAAAAUCAAUUGUCACAUAGUGGGGUACUAUUUGGCCAUAAAGAGGGAUGAAGCAAUGCUAUAUACUAUAAUGGGGAUGAAUUUUGACAUUAUGGAGAGAUCCAGUCACAAAAGGCCACAUCUUGUAUGCUUCCCUGUAUGGGAAAUGUCCAGAAGAGGCAAAUCCACAGAAAAAGAGCGAGAUUAGUGGAUUCUAUCUAGGGUUGAAAGAAAACGGGGUUUGACUGCUAAUGAGUACAUGGCUUUCUGAGGUGAUGAAAAAGUUCUAAAUUUCAUGUUGGAGAUGUUUGCUUCAUCUGGAAGAACCUGUUGGUUGAGGCCACCACAUCCGGGGUGGUUCUUCCCUCCUCAGUUUCCAGCCUACCUGUCAAUCAUCCACAGACAUGCCCAGAGCUUUACUGAUCUCCUGGCCAGUUGUUUCUCCGUCACGUCUGCACUGACAUAUCGUAGUUAGCGAUCACAGAAGACUUAGUCUAAUCGGAGGUUGUGAGGAUUUACAUUGUUAUUUUCUUUUAAGACAGAGUUUUAGUUUUAACUCUUUCAAGUAGGCCUAUCAACCGUUCUGCAUUAGACUUCUAUAUGGGGCACUUUGAACAUGAUAUCUAGCUAUUUCAGCGCCAAAAGUUGGAAAGAAUGUCUCAUCCAUACUGAUUUGUUUUGGGGUUCAUCAAAAAUCAAUUAAGCUUGAAUAUAAUUUAUUUCUGGAGUCUUCAUUGCAUUCUGUUGAACUGCAUGCCAAGCUUUGUGCCAGUGCCGAAAAUGUCUUGACAUUUGUAGCUGUGUAUUGUGUUUUGAAAUCAGGGAGUGUGAGUCCUCCAAGUUUGAUUCUAUCUUUCAAAUUGGUUUUGCUGUUCUUGGUCCCUUGAAUUCUAUUUAAAUUUUAUGAUUAAUUUGUCAGUUUUUACCAAAAAAGCCAGAUGAGAUUGUUGACCAGAUAGCAAUGAAACUGUAGGUCAAUUUGGGGAACAUUAUCAUCUUAUAGCGUUAAGGCUUCCAAGGCCAGAAGCAUGAUGUUUUUCAUUUAUUUAAGACUUCUGGAAUUUCUUUCAAUAGUAUUUUGUAGUUCUCAAAAUACAAGUUUUACACACCUUCUGUUAAAUUUAUUCCUAAUAACUUAUUCUUUUUUGUUGUUGUUGUUGUUUGUUUGUUUUUGUUUUGUUACCAGGGAUGGAACGAGGGACCUUGCGUUUGCCAGGCAAGCGGCAGAACCACUGAGCUAAAUCCCCCGCCCUAACUUAUUCUUUUUGAUCUCAUUGCAAAUGUAAUUUUUCUUAAUUUCCUUUUAAGACCAUUCAUUUAAUAGUGCAUAAAAAUACAAAGACUUUUUGUAUAUUGAUUUUGUAUUCUGCUACCAUGCUAAUUCACUUACUCUCUUUUUUUCCAUCACAGUAGGAAUUGAACACAAGGCCCUCGCCCUGAACUACUUCCCCAGUUCUUUUUGUAUUUUUAAAUUUUGAGACAAGGUCUUGCUCAAUGUCACUAAGUUGCCCAGGCUGGCUUGAACCUGCAAUCCUCCUGCCUCAGCCUCCCAGAAUGCUAAGUUUAUAGUAUGAACCACCAUGCCCAGCGUACUUAUUAUCUUUGAUAAUAUUUUUUAGUGAUUACGUAGGAUUUUUUAUAUGUAACAUUAUGUUACCUGUGAGUAGAGUCUGGUCUUAUUUUUUCUCUUCCAAUAUGAAUUCUGAGUAUUUCUUUUUCUUGCCUAGUUGCUCUGGCAAGAACUUCCACUGCACUACUGAAUUAUAAAACAGCAGAAGCAGACAUUCCUGACUCGAUCCUGAUUCAGGAGGAAAGAAGGCAGUCUUUCACCAUAGGAAUGCUACGUGCUUUUCUCGGAUGAGAUUCAGAUUGAGAAAGUUCUUUCCUAUUCCUAAAUUAAUGAGUAUUUUUACCAUGAAAGGAUACUGGAUUUUCCCAGUGCAUUUCCUGCACUUAUUGAGAUGAUAGUGUGUUUUUUGUUUUUUGUCCUUUUUGUGGCCUUUCUAUUGACAACUUAUAUUACAUUAACUGAUUUUUGGAUGUUAAACCAACCACAAUGCUGGACAAAUUCCACCUGACUGUAUGUUGUUGGACUCAGUUUGCUAGUGUUUUAUUGAAGAUUUUUAUACCUAUAUUCAUAAAUGAUAAUGUUCUAUAGUUUUCUUUUCUGAAGGUGUCACAGGAUAAUGAUACAUCUGGCUUUGGUAUCAAGAUAAAGCUGGCCUCAUAGAAUGAGAAGAGAUUUUUUUCCCUUCUCUUUAAUUUUUUUUUUUUUUUUUGGUACCAGGGAUUGGACUCGGGUCCUUGCGCUUGUGCAGCAGGCAGCGAAACUACUGAGCUAAAUCCCCGGCCCCCGUUCUGUUCAAUAUUUUGAAGAGUUUGUAAAAGUAGGUUUUAGAACUUAAAAGUAUUUUGGAGAAUUCACCAGUGAAGUUAUCCAGGCCUUUGUGGAAAAUAAUCACUAAUUUAAGUUCUUGUUAUAGAUCUACUUAGGUUUUCUAAUUCUUCCUGAGUCACUUUUGUCAGUUUGCAGUUUUCUAGAAAUCUAAUUUUGUCUACUUUGUUUGACUUGUUGGCACAUAGUUUUCUUCGUACUCUGUUAUAAGCCUUUCAUUUCUGUAAGAUUGGUACUGCUGUCUCCCAUCUUUAUUGCUAUACCUUAAUUUACUGUAUGAACCACCAGAAUGUAUUUGUUCUAUCUGCUGUGGGUAGAUAUAUGGGCAGUUACCUGGCCCAUUCUUCCAUUCUUUGGUUUCAUAACAAUUGUUCUUAUAUGCCAAGGACUCCUCUUUCUGGUGACAUUUCUUGGGAGCCUCAGGAUAUUGCCCAAUGAACUUGGCACAAAGAAACUUGGAAAACAUUUCUGCUUUCACCCUGGCCACACUGAAGGCAGGAUUGCUUCUGUCUUUGACCCUGAGAUCUUCCCAGAUCUGGCUGGCAUUCCAGGAUUGGCUUGUGGAACUGGACUUUGCACCUUGUCAGGCACAUGAAGGCAGUAAAUGUUCCUGAGUGUGCACAGGUGUGACCACAUCCCUAGAUGCUUCUGUGUGGGAGGCAUGGGGGAAGGUGGGGAACGUCCCGAGGUGGCGUCUGGUUGGAGGAAGUAGUCACUGGGGGCUGCCUUGUGAGGGUAUGUUUGUCCCUGGCCUCUGUGGCUCUCUUUCUGCCCCCUGGGCCCAUGAGCCGAGCUGCUUUGCUCCGCCUGGCCAUGGACCUCAGCAAUGCAACCAGUGAACCAUGACCUGAGCCCUGAAACCAUGAGCCAAAACAAGUCUUGCUUCUUUUAGGUUGAAUUCCUCAAGUAUUUUGUCACAGUGACAAAAAGCUACCAUGUUUCCUGACUAUAAUAUUCUCUGAUUAACUGACUCUAUCCUCAUGUUAUCACACACCUGACAAGCUUGUAAUAAGGAGAGCCGGAGUGGGGAGUUUUUGUUGCUUCUUGUGUAAGUUUUUUUUCCUGUAACAAAAUGCCCAAGGUAGCUAACUUGCUCAGUUCUGGAGGUUUUGGUCCAUGGUCAGGUGGGUUGCUGGUUUGUUGGUUUGUGUGAGGUAGGACAUCGUGGAGGGGACAUAUAACAGGGGAAUUUUUCACCUCAGGAUGCCAGAAACCAAAGGAGAAGAGGGUCAUCCUUCAGGUCACCCCAGAUGACCUAACUUGCUCCAGCUGGGCCCCACACCUUAAAGGUCAUACCACCUUCCAGUAGCACCAGGGACUGAGGACUGAGAUUGUCAUGGAAGGGCCUUUGGGGACAUUUAUCAGCCACGACACUUCUCAUCCGAAUCCCAUUGACCUUUGGAAGCUUUUCAUUAAUAGGCCUAAUAAUUAGCUAGAGAAAUUCCAGGGCCUGGACUUGUGGGCUCCCAGGGUGACCCCAGAAACCACAUGGGUUCCUCCAAGGAGUCAAAAUCCUAAAGUGCAUACAUUACUGCACAUAUGGUGGGGGAAGCUGGUUCUUUUUCGCUGUCCUCAAGUAUUUAAACAAUUUGUCAAAGCUUGGACUGGAAGGGAACAUUGAAAACCAGUGUACUUAGAGCAGGAAAAAUGCAGGGUGUGAGAGGAAACAUUUGUCCUCACAAUGGCCUUUGAGUAGGGGAGCCAAUUGGGCAGAAGAUGAAUUCUUCAAAUUUAAUGAAAUUAUUCGUGCAACAAAAGAAGGAAAUAAGAGCUGUGUAGGGCAUAUGUGAGAUUUCCUCUUCCUUUUACUGGACAUCUAGCAGAGUCCCGGGCUCUGGCUGGGCCUUUCUGGUUCCACAGCUCUCAACGCUGUCCUGGUACCAAGGCAACUCCCUCUGAAAAUGCUCAGUGAGGAGAGAACCUUCUUCCUGACCCUGAAUCCCUCCUUUGGACCUCUGUGUGUCACUAGAUUCCAACCCCCUCCCCUCGAUCUUCACUGGGUUCCACUUAUAUGCAUGUGUUUGUACAUUUGGGCACACAUGUUUUACACAUUUGACUGUAAGCUUCUAGCACUUUGUAAACCUAGGAGUCUUGCAUAUAAUAAAUAUUUGGUCACAAUUUACAGACGUUACUAUUAACUUUUUUUGGUAGUACUGAGGACCUGCAGAGGACGAUAGCAUUGAUUAUGCCCAAGGCAGGCUGUGAAGAGCCAACCCCACAGUCAGCUUGUUUAUAGAAGUGAGUCCGGCUGAAGCCUACGUGCUGAGGUCAGAGUAACUCGCACCCAAAUUCCAUUCCCACAACUAAAACCUUCAGAUUAGAAGGACAGUGUUCUAAUCACAAUCAUAUAUUUUGUCUAUUCUGUUCCUAAUUUGAGAGUGCCAUGUCUUGUCCUUCACAAGCCUUGUUUACAUUAAUUUCCAUAGAAACCACUCAUUGCUCGCCUUUACCCCAGUUGAUUGCCUAUAAAAGUCAGUGCCUGGGACUGGCCAGGGCCUUUGUCGGUUGCAUUGCAUUGGUCGUCCUGGCUCCCUGCUUUCUCUCCUAGUUCUGUCUCUUUGUGCAUUUAUUUCUCAGACCUGCAUCAUAUACUGGGCAGGUGAGGACUGGAACCCGACUGACUACAGAGGUCUCCAGCAAUUGGUGCCCAUUGUGGGGGCUUGAACUAUAAGCAAUCACCUGCUCAGUGAGGCUACUCAGGGUAAAGAGGAAGAAAAGAAAAAGGAAAAAAAGGAAUCCAGGAUGCAGUGCACCUCACAUCAAGAUAAGGAAGUCUAAACAUGAAGCACAAAACCCUGGAAAAAAGAGGUAGAUGCUUCAGAUGCAAGACGGUAGUAAAGGUAGUCAGCUGGGACCAAAACAUGAGGAAAUCACUUUCAGCCCAAGCUGGCCUGCAGUGUUGAACUAAGUGCUGCAAAAGGUAAAUAUAGCCAUCAUUUUUCACCAACAAGAACUUUAGAUAUGGAACUUAGGCAGCGUGUCAAAAAUAACAUCCAGACAACUCAGCAGAGAAGAGAAGUUAUCUCCCCUGAGACUUUAACUGAGACCUUGACAGCUUGGAGCUUUGUGCGCUCUGUUUUGCGGCCCGAACAGUGAAGCCUGGGAGCCGCUCAAGCUUCUGUUUUGCGGCAAUGAGCCGCCGGUGAGAACUGUUUAGUUUUGUUCUUAGAACAACUGCUCCCCAAAUCUGCUGUCUUUCACAAAGCGGACCUGCCUCUCAGGAAAUGUGACAUCGUUACAGGCAAACCCCAGUGCUCCCCUCUGGAGGAGGCCAAGCUUCCUCCCCCUUGACUUGAGCUGCAAGCUCACAGGUGCGGAGGAGGUGGGUAAAAAGCAUGAGGAGAACUGCUUGGCUUCCAUGCACUGGGAAGUGCCAUGGUCACACUCAGAAAAAAUCAAAACUUGCACUCAGAUUGGGAAGAACUGAAAUGAGAAAAUAAAUAAUGGAUUGAAAACAGCUAGAAACGCUUUGGAAAGCAUAAAGCAAAACAAUGAGAAAAACACUCCUGGCUGUAAGAGCCAUGGCCAGCGCUGCGUUAUCAGCCUGAUGCUGCCUGCAAAGGUCUGGAAUCCAAUACAAAGCCAGGGAAACUGCAACUGGUCUCUACCAGACAUAGAGAUUUUAUAAGAGAAAUCAAGCUACAAAUUUUAGCUAAUUGAUAAAUGUAUCUUUGUUAUAAUUUGCGUUGAUGUUUAAUUGGUGUGCCUAAAACAUUUCUUGUGCAUUGCAAAUUCUUGCAUUGUAAUUAUAGGGUUAACUUGUUCUUUUCUGUACUUUGUUGAUGAAGAACUCAAAGUUACUGCUGUUCUAUUGGCAGCCAGUCAAAUUUUAAAUUGUAACAAUCUCAGAACAGAAAAAAAAGAGACACUUUAAAAUUUUAACAGCUGAAGACAAGUUUUUAAUAGAAGAUUUAUAGUAAGUGAGAUGGAGGAAAAAUAUUAAAAAGGCUAUAAGUAAAAGAUAUUUUUGUUGGUACUGGAUAUCAAACUUGGGACCUUGCACUUGCACAGCAGGCACCAGACCCACUGAGCUAAAUCCCUGGCCCAAGAGAUAUAUUUUUGAUAUGAAAGGAUUUUUCUUUUUGCGGGGGUACUGUGGAUUGAACUUGGGACCUUGCGCUUGCAAGGCAGGCAGCAGUACCACUGAGCUAAAUCCCCAGCCCCGAUAUGAAAGGAUUUUGUAUGUUUGUCUUAUUAGAAGAAUAAAGAGAGAUAUACAAGAUCAGAAGGCCUAGGUAUGUUGAGAAGGUGUGUGGAAGUGAUUUAUCAAGAAAAUAUGUAUAUUUGCUUAUUGGCUUCAAGUUUGUUAUAAAAGGUUUGCAUUUACAGGCAUAAAGAGCUUUCAUUCUUUCCAGUUCUACAAGAGAUCUCUGUUAAUUGACUUACAAAGAGUUUUGACCAGUCUUAUUUACAAUUAUGAACCUAAAAAUUAUGAAAGGAUUUAUAAUUCAAUUAAGCUAAAUAUCUAGUUUUAUAAAUUGUCUUAUGUUUGUUUGUUUGCCCGUUUGUCUGUCCAACUGUACAGUUGUGUUGUUUAACAAGUUUAUUCCUUUAAAAAAUUUUUUUUAAAAAGAUAUUUGCUUAUAAUCUAAAUUGGCUUGUAGAUAAAGGUUAUGAAACUUAAAGGCAUGUAUUAUCCCCACCCCAGUUGCUAACAGAUCAAAAUGAUGUAAUAUAUAUUGUUGUCUAAUAUAAUCACUCCAAAACAUUAAUUGGUGGGCUGGAGUUUUAGCUCAGUGGUACUGCCACUUGCCUCGCAAGCACAAGGACCCGAGUUCGAUCCCUAGUACCUAAAAACCCCCACAUGAAUUGGUUACAAAUAAUGUAUUAAUUGUUACAAUCUGGUUUUUACAGGUUAUUAAGUAAGCUUUGUCAAAGGAAUUAAUGAAGAUCCAUAGGUUUAGAGAGAUUGCUAAACAGGACUCCUCUUGGUGAAUACAAGAGCGGCCAUGUGGAAAUAUUUUCCAGCCUUUGCUCACUAGGGGAACCUCAACAGUUUGUAUACUCUUACAACAGACUGAUCCUGAUAGUUUUCAUAGCCUUAAAAGAGACUUACAUCAAUGAAUAUUACUUUAAAAUGUUAUUGUAAUAUGAUUACAUUGGUUGUCAUCAAAGGCUUAAGCUCUAAAUAUGUUAUGUGAUAUGUUUACACUGGUCAUCUUCAAAAGAUUGAAUUUUCUGUGAAAACAAAGCAAGGUUUUAUUGAAAAGAUGCUUUUUACCAAACUAAAUUAGAGGGUAUAAGGUUUCACAUAUAUAACUGUGGUAAUUAUUAUUGUUAACUUUCUGGUGUACUAAAUGUAUUUACGCUUUCUGACUGUACAGGUUUUCUAAUAUAUUGUUUAUGAUAAUAACCUUCUUUUGAUUCAGGUAUUUGCCAUUCUAUUAUACUCCAGCUACUUACGAUAAGAGGUACAUUUAUAAGCUGAUGUAUUUUGUUUAGACGGCAUCCCAUCAAAAGACAACAAUUUGGAUAAUAAUGUUUUGAGUUUUUGGAAGAGAAUGAGUGCAUUUAACAAUGGCUAUUUUAUACCAAGAUGGACACUUAAGUGUGUUACAAAGAUAAUGCCAUCAUGAUUGUCAUGCUAAAAUAUUAUGUGUGGCUCUUGAUUUGAAACUUUUUUUUCUGUUAACAUUUUACAGGAAUUUAAUGGCUAGAACAACCAUGAUUGGUAAUAAUAACAGUCUUCUAACUAUACUUUAUAUUUCAAAGUGCUUGAUAUCCAGGGGCCGGGGAUUUUAGCUCAGUGGUUCCAGUGCCUGACUUGUAAGUGCAAGGUCCUGAGUUUGAUCCCUGGUGCCAACAAAAAAAAAGUGCUUGAUAUCCAGAUAAAAUUAUGACAGUUAAGUUCACUACUCCCAUUGCAAUGCUAAUGUUAUUGAUAUUCUGUUCUGGGUGUUCAACAACUAAUGCUUAGAUACCAGAAUUAAAAAGAUGACUUGUGGUAAGAAGACAGCCAAUAUUUUGGCCCUGACCCUUCAAGGUCUACAAAUAACCCAGAAAGUGAAGAACAUUUUCUACCUGAUCCUCUCGUUAUUUUGCUUUACCAACUUUGCUCUACCAACUUUGUUAAGUCACCCAACCUCCUGAGCAGAGAGAUUGUUGGACACCAAAAAGAUAAGAAUCAAGAGUGUGCCAAAGGAGUGUCACUUGUAGGGAAAAAUCUCCCACGCUUUCACAGAAAGCAACAUGGUCAAGCAAGCCCAUGACACACCCUGAUGGCUGACACGACAGGAGUUGAAAAGCUCUAUGCAAGGUUCAAGUCAUGUCUGUGGAGACUUAAUUGACCUUGAUAGACUCCAAGAGGUUACUUUUAAUUAAUGUAGGUCUCACCUUAACUUGCUCUUGAACACCCAGUAGAAAAGCAUAAUCCAAAGAUAGAUAAAGUCAGGACCAUAGUAAUACAGCUGGAUAUAAGAAGGGGCUCCAAUUGCUGACCCCUACUGACAGUUUCCAGCUACACUCGUGACUCACUCCUGUUAUGGGUCAAUAGAAAAAACUAUGGUAAAAUUUAUAGACCUCCACAAGAGUUUUAACAUUUUUAGCUGAAAUUGUUUUUUUAAUUAUUAAAUUUUCAGUCUUUUUACAGCUAAAAUUUAAAAAAUUAUGACAAAUAUCAGACUUAUAGAUAACCUCUAUUAAUAAAAGAGUCUAAGAGCCAGCAGUUUACAAUUACUAUUUUAGUCUUUUAAAAACAGUUUCUAAACAUGGCUGUUUCCCCAACCUGCUUUUUUAUUUUAGUACUUAUAAUUUGAUUAUAAUGCUCUAAUUUCUUUAAAAAAUUGUUUAUUCUUGCCUAUAGGCUGCCAAACUCCAAGUGAUUAUGUAGAUAAAAUCAACAACAAAUGUGCUAGAUUUUUUUAACCAAAAUCCACCAGAUUGACUUUGUAUAGAGAGUUUAUAAUUGCUAAAUCACAACAUGAUUUUAUUUAAGGCCUAUUAAAUUAGCUCCCUGAAGAGAGCCUCUGUCUUCCUUACAUCCACGCUUCCCAGCUCGAAGAAGUUAGAUUGAAACUAUGCCCUUUCUCCCCUAGCUGCAGUUGGAGGUGCUCCUUGGAAAGGGAAUUAUUAUAGACAGUUAAGCCAGUUAGACACAUUGUAAGUUUUUGUCACAUAGGGUCCACUGGCUAACUCAUGGGGCCAAGCCAUUGUUGAACGUAUUCACCUUUCCCUAAAGGCACAAUAAACCCAAAGGGGGGGGGUGCAGCUACCUCCACAAGCUCAAUUAGAUCUUGUUACUUUCAUUUAAAAAUUUUUAAAUCCACGUAUGGAAAGUAAAUAUAUACAAAGAAAGACCUACAGACAUGUCCUAGACAAUAGUGCUGUCAAAGGAUGUCCUAACUAAAAGGUAAAUGGCUCCAUACAAUUAAUAACAUAGGGGCCAGGGGAUGCUUAUUUUUCAACAGAAAAUAAAAAGAUGUUGUGGCCAUCACCCCAGAACAUACCACCUUGAACCAACAAGAUGGAUUCGCUAUAAGCAGCAUGAUGUGACACCCUGCUGAAAGCCAUGCACAGGCUGCCUCUGAUUCACUCCCCUCACCUGCCACAGCCCUGGGACCUGCAAAGAUCACCAGACCUGAUGGAGCUGCUGUUUUCAAACAGAGAAGGGAGAGCUGCGGAGGACUGUAAUAUUAUGCCCAAGGGAGGCUGUGAAGAGCCAACCCCACAGUCAGCUUGUUUAUAGAAGUGAGUCCAGCUGAAGCCUAUGUCCGAGGUCAGAGUAACUCGCACCCAAAUUCCUUUCCCACAACUACACCUUCAGACUAGAAGGACAGUGUUCUAAUCACAACCAUGUAUUUUGUCUAUUCUGUUCCUAACUUGAGAGUGCCAUGUCUUGUCCUUCACAAGCCUUGUUUACAUUAAUUUCCAUAGAAACCACUCAUAGCUCACCUUUACCCCAGUUGAUUGUCCAUAAAAGUCAGUGCCUGGGACUGGCCACUGCCUUUGUUGGCUGCACCAGCACUGGUUGUCCUGGCCCCUGAUUUCUCUCCUACUUCUGUCUCUUAGUGCAUUCUUUUCUCAGGCCUGCAUCACACACUGGCCAGGUGGGGACUGGAACCUGACCGCAGGGGUCUCCAGCAAGGAUCAAAGCCAGGUGCUCUGCCAGUGAACUACAUCCACAGCCCCAUUCACUUACUCAUUUAUUUAUGUAUUUAUUUAGUAUUUUGAGACUGAGUCUCACUAUGUUGCCCAUGUAGUACUGCAGAUAGGUAGGUUAAUUAGAUAUCUUGUAGGCAGUUAGACAGGGCCAGCCCACAAGGAGCCAACAUGGAGGAGAGUGAAGACACAUUCACUGAAGGCCAGCAUUGUAAAAGGAGAGAAAUUAGCCUACCCAUGUAAGAUGAAGAGCAGUGACUGAUGUUCUAAAUAGGUA